UACGUAGGGUGCGAGCGUUGUCCGGAAUUAUUGGGCGUAAAGGGCUCGUAGGCGGUUUGUCGCGUCGGGAGUGAAAUCCACUGGCUUAACUGGUGGCUUGCUUUCGAUACGGGCAAACUGGAGGUAUGCAGGGGAGAACGGAAUUCCAGGUGUAGCGGUGAAAUGCGUAGAUAUCUGGAGGAACACCGGUGGCGAAGGCGGCAUCCUGGACCGACACUGACGCUGAGGAGCGAAAGCCAGGGGAGCAAACGGG
rnacentral:rRNA from 1 species